CAGAGUGACAGGUGGUGCAUGGUUGUCGUCAGCUCGUGUCGUGAGAUGUUGGGUUAAGUCCCGCAACGAGCGCAACCCUUGAUCUUAGUUGCCAGCAUUCAGUUGGGCACUUUAAGGUGACUGCCGGUGACAAACCGGAGGAAGGUGGGGAUGACGUCAAAUCAUCAUGCCCCUUAUGACCUGGGCUACACACGUGCUACAAUGGACGGUACAAAGGGCAGCAAAGCCGCGAGGUUAAGCCAAUCCCACAAAUC
rnacentral:rRNA from 1 species